ensembl:lncRNA
GCUCUAGGCUUCCGGACCAAAUCCAAAGACCCUGAAUGGUCACCAGCUGAGGAGGGCUGCACAGCGGGAACACAGUCCAACACCUCUGGAUGGUCAGGGAGGGGAAAACGGUAAAACACAGAAAACGUUGUUGACAUUCACAGAAAACAUUGUUGACAUUCAAAGGGUUCAAAUCUCACAUUUUCCAUGAUGAAAGUUACUUUAGUCGCUCUGGUCAGUCUCUGUGGAUGUUUAGGUACAGCUGGCGGUGGAGGUUUGGUUGUAGCCCCUCAACCACAAUCUGCAAGUGGAGGGUGUAACUGCAGGUUUGUGGCAGAGGCUGUUAAGGUGGAAUUAAGUUGCAGUUGUCUGCAAGCAGACUGCAGUUGGAGGCAAAAACCGCAGGUUGCUGGCAGAGGAUUUUAGGUGGAGGCUGGCAGAGGCUGCAGGUGGUGCAACUGUGGUCGUAGGACGUAGGUGGAGGUUUGGUUGAAGCUGUCUGCCAGCAACCUGCAGUUUGAGGCGGCAUCAACAGGUCACUGGCAGAGGCCGUAGGUGAAGAUUUGGUUGCAGCUGCCUGCCGGCAACCUGCAGUUGGAGGCAGCAACUGCAGAUGCAGGCAGAGGGUGGAGGCUGAGUUGCAGCUGUCUGCCAAUAUCUGAUGGUAGAGGCAGCAAUAGGUUUGUGGUAGAGGCUAUUUAGAUGGAGGUUGGUCUCCAGCUAUUUAGCACAAUCUGCAAGUGGAGGAGGCAAAUGCAGGUUGCUGCAGAGGCUGAAAGUGGACGACUGAAUAGCAGAUUUUUGCCAGAAUAUGCAGGUGGAAGCGGCACUUGCAGUAUCUGACGGACCGUCUGAGUGGAUGGUUUGUAGGCAGCUCUAUUACAGAAUGUUUAGGUGGAAGCGGCAUCAACAGGUCACUGGCAGAGGAUGUAGGUGGAGGUUUGGUUUCAGCUGGCUGCCAGCAACCUUCAGUUGGAGGCAACAACUGCAGGUCACUGGCAGAGGAUCAAGGUGAAGGUUUGCUUCCAGCUGUCUGCCAAUAUCUGCUGGUGGAGGUGGUAACAGCAGUUUAGGGGUUGAGCCUAUGUAAGGUGGAGGUUUGGUAGCAGCUGUCAGCAACAUGCAGUUGGAGGCAGCAACUGCAGAUUGCUAGAGGAGGCUGAAGGUUCCAGCUGCCACAACUUGCUGGUGGAGGCAGCAACAGCAGGACUGUGGCAGAGGUUCUUUAGGUGGAGGGUAGGUUGCAGGUGGUGUAGCUUGUUGAAUUGUAGUCAAUGUGAGUUUUUGAUGCAAAUUGUCCAGAGACACUUGUUCCCCACAAUUUGUAGGUGGAAAUACAUCUCCAGCUAUCAGCAGGUGGAUCGUGGGGCAGCGGUUGCGUGGUAAAAGCUGCUGGCAGAGGGUGGAGGCAGCAGAAAGCUAAUGUCAGCUGGAAUCUGCAGGACAACGACGGGGGCUGGAGGUGGAGGGGAGUUUCUCUCCUGGUGGGCACCACCGUGCGAACCAUCUUAAUACGGUGCUUUUGAUACUUAAAAUCACACAACUUUUGCUUAUCAGCAAUGUGAUCUUAAUUGAGGGUUUUGGAGUUUUUAGCUCUUCUGUGGUGUCCCUGGCUUUGGCUCCCCCAAAAUGUCCACCUGGUGGAGGGGAGGGAAGACUCCAACCCCGUAGGAGACAUCCACGUGCACCAGUCCGUCUCCGUUGACUGUUUCGGUGAACAGGGGACGGUCCAGUCUCUGCCACAGCUUCUGCUUGAUGACGCGCCCCAGGCUCAGAGUGUAAGGACGCAGACGGCCGCUCUUGAACCUGAGAGGUAAAAACAACGAGUUUAAUCACAACGUCACAUGUGGUUCAAAUGUUGCUGUGAGGGAAUAUUGAGCGAUACAUUUAGUUGUGAUUGGAAGAAUGUGCUAAUUAUGUGAGCGAUUGUUGACACAACGCACCUCAGCAUUUCAUCAACAACCUCGUGGUACAGCUGCUGGUAUUCUUCCACUGGGAGGUUGAAUAUCUUCAGAGGCCCGUCGUGCAGUGGAGCAGUGGAGGGCUGGAGGCUGGGGGCCACACAGGAGACUCGGGGCAGGUCAGCAGGUGGGAUGGUGGCUCUAGGCUUCUCCACCAAAGACCCUGAAUGGUCACCAGCUGGGGAGGGCUGCACAGCGGGGACACAGUCCAACACCUCUGGAUGGUCAGGGAGGGGACGGCCUCCGGAGGUGCGCUUCCUCUUCUGGUGAAGGUCUCCGGGAGCAGCAGAGGGCCGGCGCUUUCUCUUUAGAGUCGGCCCCUGGUCAGCAACACAUCAAAGGGUGUGAGUGAACUUCAUACUGAACAACACACUGUCACAGAGAAACCUCUGCAUCACAUGCACUGCAGAGAGCCUUCACAGAUUCUGUCCAUUUUGAAGGAUUUUUAAUAUGCAAUCUCUUUGCUUGUUUGUACACUGACUCACUCCGGGUCCUGAGGAUUACAUUGUGAACAGUUUGAAAGAACAAGUCUCACCUGCUUGUCCCUGCAGCAUGAACACUGUCUCCAGGCUGAGGGCCUCGACGCGCUCUCUGCCUGGCGAGCAGAGGUUCUCCUUCCUGUCUGGUUGUCGGUCAGGAGAACGGGAACGUCACACUGCAACAACAUAGACUUGUGUUAGAAGGAAGCUUUACAAGUACGGUCAAAGCAGAACGUUUCAUUUCUCAAUUCACUGUGAAAACCAACUGAUAUUUCCCCUAAAACAUGACGUGUAUUUCCACACGCGUAGAGCUUCUAUCAGCACAUUCAACCAUCGAAAGAGUUCACAGAGACCAGAUGAAGUUUGUAGGGGCCUGAGCUGCAGGCCCGCUGUAAACACCUGUUCCUCACAGAAGUACGCCGUGUGGACAGGUUGUAUGUGCCUCAGUGUUAGCGGACCGACACUUAACUAUUAAUAACAUGAAUUAAGGAACAUGUGAUCAAGUGAAAAG